rnacentral:tRNA from 1 species
GUCCCUGUAGCUCAGCUGGACAGAGCAGCGGCCUUCUAAGCCGCGGGUCGUGGGUUCGAAUCCCUCCAGGGACG